UUUUUUCGCAACGAACGCAUGCAAUCUUCCUAAAUACGCACUAGAACAUGUUUGGGAGUGUUUUUGGGCAUUCGGUUCCGGCACGGAAAACGAUGCAAAACGGGUGCAUUUCGGCACCCGAAUGCACUAUUGCCGGGUAGCGAAACUCGGGUGGAUUUUUUCGCAACGAACGCAUGCAAUCUUCCUAAAUAUGCACUAGAACAUGUUUGGGAGGGUUUUUGGGCAUUCGGUUCCGGCACGAAAAAUGAUGCAAAACGGGUGCAUUUCGGCACCCGGAUGCACUAUUAUCGGGUAGAGAAAGUCGGGUGGAUUUUUUCGCAACGAAUGCAUGCAAUCUUCCUAAAUAUGUACUAGAACAUGUUCGGGAGUGUUUUUGGGCAUUCGGUUCCGGCACGAAAAACGAUGCAAAACGGGUGCAUUUCGGCACCCGAAUGCACUAUUGCUGGGUAGCGAAAGUCGGGUGGAUUUUUUCGCAACGAACGCAUGCAAUCUUCCUAAAUAUGCAAUAGAACAUGUUUGGGAGUGUUUUUGGGCAUUCGGUUCCGGCACGAAAAACGAUGCAAAACGGGUGCAUUUCGGCACCCGAAUGCACUAUUGCCGGGUAGCGAAACUCGGGUGGAUUUUUUCGCAACGAACGCAUGCAAUCUUCCUAAUUAGACCCUAGAACAUGUUUGGGAGUGUUUUUGGGCAUUCGGUUCCGGCACGAAAAACUAUGCAAAACGGGUGCAUUUCGGCACCCGAAUGCACUAUUGUCGGGUAGGGAAACUCGGGUGGAUUUUUUCACAACAAACGCAUGCAAUCUUCCUAAUUAGACCCUAGAACAUGUUUGGGAGUGUUUUUGGGCAUUCGGUUCCGGCACGAAAAACGAUGCAAAACGGGUGCAUUUCGGCACCCGAAUGCGCUAUUGCCGGGUAGCGAAACUCGGGUGGAUUUUUUCGCAACGAACGCAUGCAAUCUUCCUAAAUAUGCACUAGAACAUGUUUGGGAGUGUUUUUGGGCAUUCGGUUCCGGCACGAAAAACGAUGCAAAACGGGUGCAUUUCGGCACCCGAAUGCACUAUUGCCGGGUAGCGAAACUCGGGUGGAUUUUUUCGCAACGAACGCAUGCAAUCUUCCUAAAUAUGCACUAGAACAUGUUUGGGAGUGUUUUUGGGCAUUCGGUUCCGGCACGAAAAAUGAUGCAAAACGGGUGAAUUUCGGCACCCGAAUACACUAUUGCGGGGUAGCGAAAGUCGGGUGGAUUUUUUUCGCAACGAACGCAUGCAAUCUUCCUAAAUACGCACUAGAACAUGUUUGGGAGUGUUUUUGGGCAUUCGGUUCCGGCACGAAAAACGAUGCAAAACGGGUGCAUUUCGGCACCCGAAUGCACUAUUGCCGGGUAGCGAAACUCGGGUGGAUUUUUUCGCAACGAACGCAUGCAAUCUUCCUAAAUAUGCACUAGAACAUGUUUGGGAGUGUUUUUGGGCAUUCGGUUCCGGCACGAAAACGAUGCAAAACGGGUGCAUUUCGGCACCCGAAUGCACUAUUGCCGGGUAGCGAAACUCGGGUGGAUUUUUUCGCAACGAACGCAUGCAAUCUUCCUAAAUAUGCACUAGAACAUGUUUGGGAGUGUUUUUGGGCAUUCGGUUCCGGCACGAAAAAUGAUGCAAAACGGGUGCAUUUCGGCACCCGAAUGCACUAUUGCCGGGUAGCGAAACUCGGGUGGAUUUUUUCGCAACGAACGCAUGCAAUCUUCCUAAAUAUGCACUAGAACAUGUUUGGGAGUGUUUUUGGGCAUUCGGUUCCGGCACGAAAAAUGAUGCAAAACGGGUGCAUUUCGGCACCCGAAUGCACUAUUAUCGGGUAGAGAAAGUCGGGUGGAUUUUUUCGCAACGAACGCAUGCAAUCUUCCUAAAUAUGCACUAGAACAUGUUUGGGAGUGUUUUUGGGCAUUCGGUUCCGGCACGAAAAAUGAUGCAAAACGGGUGCAUUUCGGCACCCGAAUGCACUAUUGCCGGGUAGCGAAACUCGGGUGGAUUUUUUCGCAACGAACGCAUGCAAUCUUCCUAAAUAUGCACUAGAACAUGUUUGGGAGUGUUUUUGGGCAUUCGGUUCCGGCACGAAAAACGAUGCAAAACGGGUGCAUUUCGGCACCCGAAUGCACUAUUGUCGGGUAGAGAAAGUCGGGUGGAUUUUUUCGCAACGAACUCAUGCAAUCUUCGUAAAUAUGCACUAGAACAUGUUUGGGAGUGUUUUUGGGCAUUCGGUUCCGGCACGAAAAACGAUGCAAAACGGGUGCAUUUCGGCACCCGAAUGCACUAUUGCCGGGUAGGGAAACUCGGGUGGAUUUUUUCACAACAAACGCAUGCAAUCUUCCUAAAUACGCACUAGAACAUGUUUGGGAGUGUUUUUGGGCAUUCGGUUCCGGCACGAAAAAUGAUGCAAAAUGGGUGCAUUUCGGGACCCGAAUGCACUAUUGCCGGGUAGCGAAACUCGGGUGGAUUUUUUCGCAACGAACGCAUGCAAUCUUCCUAAAUAUGCACUAGAACAUGUUUGGGAGUGUUUUUGGGCAUUCGGUUCCGGCACGAAAAACGAUGCAAAACGGGUGCAUUUCGGCACCCGAAUGCACUAUUGCCGGGUAGCGAAACUCGGGUGGAUUUUUUCGCAACGAACGCAUGCAAUCUUCCUAAAUAUGCACUAGAACAUGUUUGGGAGUGUUUUUGGGCAUUCGGUUCCGGCACGAAAAAUGAUGCAAAACGGGUGAAUUUCGGCACCCGAAUACACUAUUGUCGGGUAGGGAAACUCGGGUGGAUUUUUUUCGCAACAAACGCAUGCAAUCUUCCUAAAUACGCACUAGAACAUGUUUGGGAGUGUUUUUGGGCAUUCGGUUCCGGCACGAAAAACGAUGCAAAACGGGUGCAUUUCGGCACCCGAAUGCGCUAUUGCCGGGUAGCGAAACUCGGGUGGAUUUUUUCGCAACGAACGCAUGCAAUCUUCCUAAAUAUGCACUAGAACAUGUUUGGGAGUGUUUUUGGGCAUUCGGUUCCGGCACGAAAAACGAUGCAAAACGGGUGCAUUUCGGCACCCGAAUGCACUAUUGCCGGGUAGCGAAACUCGGGUGGAUUUUUUCGCAACGAACGCAUGCAAUCUUCCUAAAUAUGCACUAGAACAUGUUUGGGAGUGUUUUUGGGCAUUCGGUUCCGGCACGAAAAAUGAUGCAAAACGGGUGAAUUUCGGCACCCGAAUACACUAUUGCGGGGUAGCGAAAGUCGGGUGGAUUUUUUUCGCAACGAACGCAUGCAAUCUUCCUAAAUACGCACUAGAACAUGUUUGGGAGUGUUUUUGGGCAUUCGGUUCCGGCACGAAAACGAUGCAAAACGGGUGCAUUUCGGCACCCGAAUGCACUAUUGCCGGGGUAGCGAAACUCGGGUGGAUUUUUUCGCAACGAACGCAUGCAAUCUUCCUAAAUAUGCACUAGAACAUGUUUGGGAGUGUUUUUGGGCAUUCGGUUCCGGCACGAAAACGAUGCAAAACGGGUGCAUUUCGGCACCCGAAUGCACUAUUGCCGGGUAGCGAAACUCGGGUGGAUUUUUUCGCAACGAACGCAUGCAAUCUUCCUAAAUAUGCACUAGAACAUGUUUGGGAGUGUUUUUGGGCAUUCGGUUCCGGCACGAAAAAUGAUGCAAAACGGGUGCAUUUCGGCACCCGAAUGCACUAUUGCCGGGUAGCGAAACUCGGGUGGAUUUUUUCGCAACGAACGCAUGCAAUCUUCCUAAAUAUGCACUAGAACAUGUUUGGGAGUGUUUUUGGGCAUUCGGUUCCGGCACGAAAAAUGAUGCAAAACGGGUGCAUUUCGGCACCCGAAUGCACUAUUAUCGGGUAGAGAAACUCGGGUGGAUUUUUUCGCAACGAACGCAUGCAAUCUUCCUAAAUAUGCACUAGAACAUGUUUGGGAGUGUUUUUGGGCAUUCGGUUCCGGCACGAAAAAUGAUGCAAAACGGGUGCAUUUCGGCACCCGAAUGCACUAUUGCCGGGUAGCGAAACUCGGGUGGAUUUUUUCGCAACGAACGCAUGCAAUCUUCCUAAAUAUGCACUAGAACAUGUUUGGGAGUGUUUUUGGGCAUUCGGUUCCGGCACGAAAAACGAUGCAAAACGGGUGCAUUUCGGCACCCGAAUGCACUAUUGUCGGGUAGAGAAAGUCGGGUGGAUUUUUUCGCAACGAACGCAUGCAAUCUUCGUAAAUAUGCACUAGAACAUGUUUGGGAGUGUUGUUGGGCAUUCGGUUCCGGCACGAAAAACGAUGCAAAACGGGUGCAUUUCGGCACCCGAAUGCACUAUUGCCGGGUAGGGAAACUCGGGUGGAUUUUUUCACAACAAACGCAUGCAAUCUUCCUAAAUACGCACUAGAACAUGUUUGGGAGUGUUUUUGGGCAUUCGGUUCCGGCACGAAAAAUGAUGCAAAAUGGGUGCAUUUCGGGACCCGAAUGCACUAUUGCCGGGUAGCGAAACUCGGGUGGAUUUUUUCGCAACGAACGCAUGCAAUCUUCCUAAAUAUGCACUAGAACAUGUUUGGGAGUGUUUUUGGGCAUUCGGUUCCGGCACGAAAAACGAUGCAAAACGGGUGCAUUUCGGCACCCGAAUGCACUAUUGUCGGGUAGAGAAAGUCGGGUGGAUUUUUUCGCAACGAACGCAUGCAAUCUUCCUAAAUAUGCACUAGAACAUGUUUGGGAGUGUUUUUGGGCAUUCGGUUCCGGCACGGAAAACGAUGCAAAACGGGUGCAUUUCGGCACCCGAAUGCACUAUUGCCGGGUAGCGAAAGUCGGGUGGAUUUUUUCGCAACGAACGCAUGCAAUCUUCCUAAAUAUGCACUAGAACAUGUUUGGGAGUGUUUUUGGGCAUUCGGUUCCGGCACGAAAAACGAUGCAAAACGGAUGCAUUUCGGCACCCGAAUGCACUAUUGCCGGGUAGCGAAACUAGGGUGGAUUUUUUCGCAACAAACGCAUGCAAUCUUCCUAAUUAGACCCUAGAACAUGUUUGGGAGUGUUUUUGGGCAUUCGUUUCCGGCACGAAAAACGAUGCAAAACGGGUGCAUUUCGGCACCCGAAUGCACUAUUGCCGGGUAGGGAAACUCGGGUGGAUUUUUUCACAACAAACGCAUGCAAUCUUCCUAAUUAGACCCUAGAACAUGUUUGGGAUUGUUUUUGGGCAUUCGGUUCCGGCACGAAAAAUGAUGCAAAAUGGGUGCAUUUCGGCACCCGAAUGCACUAUUGCCGGGUAGCGAAACUCGGGUGGAUUUUUUCGCAACGAACGCAUGCAAUCUUCCUAAAUAUGCACUAGAACAUGUUUGGGAGUGUUUUUGGGCAUUCGGUUCCGGCACG
rnacentral:lncRNA from 1 species